GAUGAACGCUGGCGGCGUGCCUAAUACAUGCAAGUCGAGCGGAAGGACGACAUCCUUGCUUCUCUGACGUUAGAGGCGGACGGGAGAGUAACACGUGGAUCACCUCCCUUUAAGACAGGGAUCACUUCGGGAAAUCGGUGCUAAUACUGGCUAAUUUUUUGAUCCGCAUUGUUCAAAAGUGUAACACGGUCUUGCUGUCACUUAUCGAUGCAUCCGCGCUGCAUGGGCUUGUUGGUAGGGUAACGGCUUACCAAGGCAACGAUGCAGAGCCGACGUGAGAGGGUGGUCGCCCACACGAGAGCUUGGACACGGUCCAGACUCCUGCGAGACGCAGCAGUAGCGAAUCUGCCGCAGUGGGCGAAAGCCUGACGCAGCGACGCCGCGUCAGUGAUAAAGGCCCUCGGAGCGGAAUACUCUGUUACGGGGGGUAAACAUAUUUGUAAGUCAAUGUACACAUAGUGACGGUACCUACACAAGAAGCAACGGCUAACUACGUG
rnacentral:rRNA from 1 species